rnacentral:rRNA from 1 species
UACGUAGGGUGCAAGCGUUAUUCGGAAUUACUGGGCGUAAAGCGUGCGCAGGCGGCUAUGCAAGACAGAUGUGAAAUCCCCGGGCUCAACCUGGGAACUGCAUUUGUGACUGCAUAGCUAGAGUACGGUAGAGGGGGAUGGAAUUCCGCGUGUAGCAGUGAAAUGCGUAGAUAUGCGGAGGAACACCGAUGGCGAAGGCAAUCCCCUGGACCUGUACUGACGCUCAUGCACGAAAGCGUGGGGAGCAAACAGG